AUGCCUCUGUCAGAGAGAAGGUUGAGACUUGCUGAUUUCCAAGAGUUGCUUGACAAGUUGAUUAAGAAAAUCGCUGCCUGGAAGGCUAGGUGGAUUUCUUCCACGGGCAGAAUGGUGCUUGUAAGGUUCGUCCUCUCGGCCAUGCCCAUCUUCCUCCUGCUGGCAGUGCACCAACCGAAGUGGGUGAUUAAGCAAAUUGACAAACUCCGUCGGGCAUUCUUAUGGGCGGGUUCCGACACCGUAUGUGGAGGGAAGUGU
rnacentral:rRNA from 1 species